GCAGACACCAGGCUCUGCUGAAUCUCCACAGGACAUGGAGUCUCUGAGAGAAGAUGUGGAGACUCCGAGAGAAGAUGUGGAGACUCAGGGAGAGGCAGUGAGCUCCACGCUCAACGGAAAACAAAAACAACAGCUGGAGAAAGAGAGCAACCAGCUUAAAGGGCAGAUCGUGAGUGCAUCGAGGUCAUCAAGAAGACACUUAAGCAACAGUUUUCACCUCUCUAUUCUUAGUUUCUUUUUCCAUUGCUCCAUCCUUCUCUUGUCUAACUCCUCUUUCCCUCCAAUCUUCCUCCCAAUUCCAUGUCUCUGGUUAUCUGCUGUUUGACCUUCUUCUUCUUCUUCUUCUUCUUCUUCUUCUGCUCUCCCUCUCUUCAUAGCUGGCCUUGCAGCGGGAGCUGGAGGUGUCCCGUGAGCAGCUGGAUCAGAGCGCAGCGCGGGAGAAGCUCCGGAGCGAGCGCGGGCACGGCGAGCAGGCCAAGGCUGCCCAGGACACACAGGGGCUUCAAACGCAGCUGAACCAGGCCAGACAGCAGACGGAGAGCUUGCUGUCAGAGCUGCGGAGUUCCAAGGCCGAGCACGAGAGAUUUAAAGGGAAUGUUGCCCUGAGUGUGGCUCAGCUUCAGAAAGAUAAGGAUGAUUUGAUGUCCAAUCUUGAUGAAGUAAGAAAAUGUUAUGAAAAGGUGAAAUCUGAGAAUGCUGUUCUCAGUGAAAGAGUGGAGACUCUGAAGAGAGAGGCGAACCAUGGUCUCCAUGGAAACUCAGGGCCCUCUCAUGUCCACACAGUCACGACCAACACUGAAAUGCUGGUGGUGUCCCACCACGUGUCCCAGCAGUGUUCGGGGGGGAUGAACACAGGCAGGAGCAACACACACACACACACACACACACACACACACACACACACACACACACACACACACACACACACACACAAACUGACUAAUACAA
rnacentral:lncRNA from 1 species